rnacentral:rRNA from 1 species
ACUACGGGUGGCAGCAGUGGGGGAUAUUGCACAAUGGGGGAAACCCUGAUGCAGCGACGCCGCGUGUGGGAAGACGGUCCUCUGGAUUGUAAACCACUGUCCCCAGGGACGAAGAUGACGGUACCUGGGGAGGAAGCUCCGGCUAACUACGUGCCAGCAGCCGCGGUAAUACGUAGGGAGCGAGCGUUGUCCGGAAUUACUGGGUGUAAAGGGAGCGUAGGCGGGACUGCAAGUUGGUUGUCAAAUCUACCGGCUCAACCGGUAGCCGCACUCAAAACUGCAGUUCUUGAGUGAAGUAGAGGCAGGCGGAAUUCCUAGUGUAGCGGUGAAAUGCGUAGAUAUUAGGAGGAACACCAGUGGCGAAGGCGGCCUGCUGGGCUUUUACUGACGCUGAGGCUCGAAAGUGUGGGGAGCAAACAGGAUUAGAUACCCGUGUAGUC